UGCCAGGCAGAGGGCGGAACGGAACGGACACCUGGGGCGCCCGCGCGGGAAGCGCCAGUGCGGGGGAGAGCCCCGGAUACUCGACCCCCAAGCCAGUUUGGGGAGAAAGACGGCGGCGGGGAGGGGAAAGUUGAGCACACAGCUGCGAUUCCCGUGAGUUGCGGCGACUUUGCAUAGGUGACAUCGCGCCGCGGUCCUGCCUUGGGCACGGUGGGACCCGCUUGCUGAGCGCGCUCUAGAGCGCGCGGCACAUCGUCGAAAUUUCUAACUCUGCAGGGAAAGCGCUAUGUACUUCGGCUUUACAAAUGGGGAAACUGAGGCUCAGAAACGCGCCCUACCAAAGCCACCGACCAGCAUCAGGACCAGGAGGGUCCCGCAGCCGCGGGCAGCCCUGCUGCGGGGAGGAGACCGAGGCCUUGCCCGCCAAGAAAAAGUCAAGAUCCGCGGGCAAAUGGGGCAGAUGUGGAAGCCAGGACGCGCGGCGCGGUGGUUCCAGGACCGAGGACGCGCUGCGGGGAACGCCUGGGAGCUCCGCGCCGCUGCGCUCUUCUCCUGGACUCUAGGGCCGGCCUUUGGGUGCUCAGCGGGGCCCGCAAGCUCAGAGGGUCCCAAGGCGAGCCGCCGUCUCCAGUCCGCCCGGCCUGCCUGUCCUUCCGAAUUCCAAUGGACAUUAGGGAAUUGCCCUCCUCCCUCAUCCUCCAAGACUGGGCGCUUCAGAAUUUUCUCUCCCUCCCCCUCCCUCUCCCUUGUCACUUAAAAACUCACAUUCUGUUCUCCAGGAACCGCUUUUGCAAUUCAGUUUUCCUAUCUGCAAAAUGAUAGGAAUAAAGCCAUUAGGUGAAUGAAUAGAUACUAGUAUCUCCAUUUAACAGAAGAGGAAUCAAAACCUUAUAGGAUUGUUGUGAUAUCACAUUAGAUUAUUUGUAAACAGCUUUCAAAAGGCUGCAAAAGAACAAAAAAGAAUGUUGUUGCCUGCUGAGCCCAGGGGAACACUGUAGGUGAAUCAGGGUAUUUCAGGCCCCUGGGCUGCUUUGAGACAGGUGCUCUUACCAAACACCAUCAAUUGUUGAGUGUGAACCCUGGAAUAGAGUGAAGCUUACACUGAAGCCAGUAUUUCCACAUCCCAUAUGAUCUGGUGCUUAUGUUUUUCAUUUCCUUACCUCCUUGCCAUAUACUUUACUGUUACUUGUUAAGAUUAAUAAAUCCCUUAAGAGUUGAUGUAGGGACUUAAGUUCCUUAAGGGCAGAAGUUUUUAAAAAUGUUUUUAAUACUUUAGUGCUUAUUUAUUUGAAGUAGUGGUUUUAAAAAAUAUACAACUGACACACGCUGAUAUAUAAGGUAUAUAGUAAAGAAUAUAAGGAGUAUAAAAUGAAAA
rnacentral:lncRNA from 1 species